UACGUAGGUGGCAAGCGUUGUCCGGAUUACUGGGCGUAAAGAGCGCGCAGGCGGUCGUUCAAGUCGCGUGUGAAAGCCCCCGGCUCAACUGGGGAGGGUCACGCGAUACUGAUCGACUCGAAGGCAGGAGAGGGAAGUGGAAUUCCCGGUGUAGUGGUGAAAUGCGUAGAUAUCGGGAGGAACACCAGUGGCGAAGGCGGUUCUCU
rnacentral:rRNA from 1 species